rnacentral:rRNA from 1 species
CCCUAGUAUUAAAAAUUUUAUUGAGAUUAGUAAGAGUUGGAAUUUUAAAUUUUUGGCGGUUAAUUUAUUUUUAGAGGAGCUUGUUUUUAAGAAAUUACUCUUUAUAUUUUAUUUAUAAAUAAUGUUUAUUUAUCUCCGUUAUUAAGAUUUAUAUAAUUGUAAAAUUUUAAAAUUUUAUUUCAGGUCAAGAUGUAGCAAUUGUGAGAUUAAAUUAGCUACAUUUAUGUAAUAGUGGAUUGUAUAUUGUGGAAUGAUUUAUGAAAUUGAAUUUAAUUGUAAUGUUUUUUAUAAUGAAUAUGUGAAUUAGAAGAAAUUAAUGUA